rnacentral:rRNA from 1 species
UGCCUAAUACAUGCAAGUCGAGCGGACAGAYGGGAGCUUGCUCCCUGAUGUUAGGGGCGGACGGGUGAGUAACACGUGGGUAACCUGCCCGUAAGACUGGGAUAACUCCGGGGAACCCGGGCUAAUACCGGAUGGUUUUUUGAACCGCAUGGUUCAAACAUAAAAAAAGGCUUCGGCUACCACUUACAGAUGGACCCGCGGCGCAUUAGCUAGUUGGUGAGGUAACGGCUCACCAAGGGGACGAUGCGUAGCCGACCUGAGAGGGUGAUCGGCCACACUGGGACUGAGACACGGCCCAGACUCCUACGGGAGGCAGCAGUAGGGAAUCUUCCGCAAUGGACGAAAGUCUGACGGAGCAACGCCGCGUGAGUGAUGAAGGAUUUCGGAUCGUAAAGCUCUGUUGUUAGGGAAAAACAAGUACCGUUCGAAUAGGGCGGUACCUUGACGGUACCUAACCAGAAAGCCACGGCUAACUACGUGCCAGCAGCCGCGGUAAUACGUAGGUGGCAAGCGUUGUCCGGAAUUAUUGGGCGUAAAGGGCUCGCAGGCGGCCCUUUAAGUCUGAUGUAAAAACCCCCGGCUCAACCGGGGAGGGUCAUUGGAAACUGGGGAACUUGAGUGCAGAAGAGGAGAGUGGAAUUCCACGUGUAGCGGUGAAAUGCGUAGAGAUGUGGAGGAACACCAGUGGCGAAGGCGACUUUUUGGUCUGUAACUGACGCUGAGGAGCGAAGGCGUGGGGAGCGAACAGGAUUAGAUACCCUGGUAGUCCACGCCGUAAACGAUGAGUGUUAAGUGUUAGGGGGUUUCCGCCCCUUAGUGCUGCAGCUAACGCAUUAAGCACUCCGCCUGGGGAGUACGGUCGCAAAACUGAAACUCAAAGGAAUUGAGGGGGGCCCGCACAAGCGGUGGAGCAUGUAGGUUUAAUUCGAAGCAACGCGAAGAACCUUACCAGGUCUUGACAUCCUCUGACAAUCCUAGAGAUAGGACGUCCCCUUCGGGGGCAGAGUGACAGGUGGUGCAUGGUUAUCGUCAGCUCGUGUCGUGAGAUGUUGGGUUAAGUCCCGCAACGAGCGCAACCCUUGAUCUUAGUUGCCAGCAUUCAGUUGGGCACUCUAAGGUGACUGCCGGUGACAAACCGGAGGAGGGUGGGGACGACGUCAAAUCAUCAUGCCCCUUAUGACCUGGGCUACACACGUGCUACAAUGGACAGAACAAAGGGCAGCGAAACCGCGAGGUUAAGCCAAUCCCACAAAUCUGUUCUCAGUUCGGAUCGCAGUCUGCCU